CAGUAAAAAAAGAGAUAGAGGGAAAUAUUAAUCUAAAAUUGUAGAUAUAAAAACUAAGUAUGGCGGAAAAAUUACAGUUACAAUUCCAGAUGAUAUUGAUAGAGCAAUAGGUCCUGGGGCUACAGAUAUUGAUAAUAAUUGUGGUUUGAUCAUGAGGAGCACUAUCUCCUUCCGUGAUGAGAAUUGGCAAAAGAUUCUUACAAAACAUGGAAAAGCAAUGCGGUUGAAGGUCAAGGAUAAAUUUGAAGUUCUUGGCGGCGUGCGAGAGCAUGCGUUUCAAGCAUUUGUUAUCGACACUAUGCGACGGCUCUUCAAAGCUUGGAAAGCUCGACUGAGCAUUCACUAUUCUUGCCAUGUUGCUAAAGGAAACAUAGUCUCGUCGACCUGAAGAUGUUAAGCUAGAGGACUGGAAAUACUUAGUAGAGUAUUUUGGAAGUCCUGAAUUUAAGGUUGUAAGCGAGAGAAAUAGAAAGAAUAGGGAAAAACAGAUAACUAAGCAUGCUUGUGGUACAAGGUCUUUUGCAAAAGUAGAG